CCUACGGGGGGCUGCAGUCGAGAAUCUUCGGCAAUGGGCGCAAGCCUGACCGAGCGACGCCGCGUGUGGGAUGAAGGCCUUCGGGUUGUAAACCACUGUUAGAGGGGAUGAAAUGCAGGUGGGUUCUCCCAUCUGUUUGACAUAGCCUCAGAGGCAGGACGGGCUAAGUUCGUGCCAGCAGCCGCGGUAAGACGAACCGUCCAAACGAUAUUCGGAAUCACGUGCGUUGAAGGGGGCGUAAGUGGGGUGGGAAAUACCUCGGCUCAACCGAGGAACUGCGCCCAAAACUGCCGUGCUCGAGGAAGAUAGAGGUGAGCGGAACUUAGGGUGGAGCGGUGAAAUGCGUUGAUAUCCUAAGGAACACCGGUGGCGAAAGCGGCUCACUGGAUCUUUUCUGACGCUGAGGCACGAAAGCUAGGGUAGCGAACGGGAUUAGAUACCCUUGUAGUC
rnacentral:rRNA from 1 species